CUAGAGCCAUUACUGAAACGGGAGAAAGAGUGUGUUUCCGUGGGACCGUUGCUAGGAAUCAAGGUGCCGGCAUCCAUUUGAUAUUCUGAGAGCCUGAGAUGGCGCUGUUGGGCUCAGAGGUUCACCAAGGAAUGAACAAUGCGGCGCUGGAUGUAUCUUCUCUACAGCUCUUAUCCAGCGGACCAACUCUCACACGGUGAUAGACGCUACUUGGAGCCCUCUCAG